rnacentral:lncRNA from 1 species
CAUAAAAUGAUAAAGUGAAAAUAUAAAGAAACUUGAGGGUGAGGAUCUGGAAAAUAUUGGCAGCAAAUUGCAACACACUGUAUGUACCGUCAGUUUCAAAGACCCAGUUUUCUGGGGUUUUUUUCUAGACAAGCACUUUAUCAUUUAUACAUUUUAAAAAUAAAAGAGUGACAUAUUUAUUUUAGGAAUGAAUAAAACACUAAGUCCACAGCAGCAUUAAAUUAAAGAAUAUCACUGAAAUUCCCAGUAAGAUCCAACUUGUUCUGUGCUGGGGCUAUAGCUUAGAGGCAGAUCACUUUUUGACUAUAAAUAAGGGCCUCAGUUCAAUCUCCAGCAAACUCCAGCGCGCGCGCGCACACACACACACACACACACACACACCAUUUAACCUGUUGUAUAUCAGGGUUUCUCAACAGCAGCACUAUUAGCACAAAAUUCUUUCUUUUGGGGGAACUGUCCUGUGUAUUAUAGGAUGUUUGCAACACUAUUACCAGUAGGAACUCCUAGUAAUGGCAAUCAAAAAUGUCUCCUGCCAUUGCCAAAAUUGCUCCAAGUUGAGAGCCACUAUUAUACAUCAUUUAAAGAAACAGAUUGUGAAACAUGUGAUACAUGUCUCAUAUAAAAAUGAAUGUCAUAAGUACAUAUUGUCUUAGCAAGGUAAAUUAUUAUACCCAAAAUUACAUGUGUGGUUCAUAAGCAAUAAAAUACAGUUUUGAGGAACACUUUAUGAAUCAUUGAAAAAAUAUAGCAUAUUUUAAAGCACACUAAGAAAAUAUCAAAAAGGACACUGUAGCAUUUCACAAUAGAAGUGCUUAAAACACUAGCUUCAUUAAAUAGAUCAAAAGUUUAUAUAAUUAGCACAUCCUUUGGAAGUAAACAGGUACUUCUAUUUACUGAAGUGCUUAAAAAGACCAGAUUAUUCUAAGCAGUUUACAUGUCCUUACAAAAUUGUUUUUAUAAGCCCUUUCUUAAUGCAAGGUAACUUUAUCCCAGAAGCUCCUGACUAGUAGAAUCCAAAUUAAUGAGGUUUUACUGUAUCGAAAUUAUUUUGUAAUUCAAAGAGACAGCAAUAACAAGAAUCUAGUGUGGAUGUGAUUUUUCUCUUUGAACAUCUGUGUUCUGUUGCACUGACCUUGGCAUACACACACGCACAUGUACACACGCACACACGCACUCACGCACUCACCACCACCAUCUCAUCGUUAUCAUCAUCUUAGGAAAAUGAGUACAGUUGAUCCAUGUAAUUUUUUGCAUCUUCUCUGCUCUCCUGUGUCUUGGAACUUAAGAAAAAUAUUCCUAGUAACUUAUACAAAGAUACAGAAGAUGACCCUGAGCCUUGGUUACCAUCAAAAUUGAAAACUGCAUUGUAUCUGCUAAGGUAGCGUCAGAAGAUAAGACUUAACAAACUACAGUCUUGACAAGUUGACUUUACCUUCCUACGACUUCCUCAAGACAUAAACCCUUUUUAAUGUUCCAGCAGAAAAUGAGCCUUUCCAUUCUAUUUGUCAAUGAGAAGAUGGAAGUAUUUGUUUCCCAGUUCUAAGAAUAAUGUGAGCAAUAAUUUUCCAUUUUUCUUGCACUUUGGAGGGAGAAUGAAUGAUUUAUCAUUUAUUUUAAUCCCCUUUAAAAACAGUACUGCUGACUUUGUUUCCUUCAUUGAGCUCCAGACUUAGUGCUCCAGUCACCAUCAGGGUCACUGUGGCUUUGGUAGGACAGUGACAGAGCUAAGUGAGAUGUUUUCAAGUAAUUCAGUCAUAAAGACAAUCUUUUUCAAUCUAUCGGAAUUGAUUCUCAAUAAGUCAAAUCCAGGCCUAGGCCUGUACCCACAAAAUUUUUAAGGAAUCAAAGGAAAAAAAUUCCUUUUUAUACAGUACAUAUAUGCAGUUUUAAAGGUACCCAUUAUCUACAUGACUCUGGGAGAGAAAAGAGUAAGAAUAGAUCUGAAAUUAGUUGAAGAAGAUUAAGGUAGGUUAUUUAACAUAUUUGACCAUAAAAUGUUUGGACAGAGGAAAAGAUGAAACUGGUUGGAAGAGUAAAUGAAAAAUCAUCUCUUUGGUUUAGGAUUAUUGGACGACCCAGAGUAUAUCUAAAUGACCACAAGCUGCCCCAUAGGAAAAAAGAAUACUAUGCCCUGAACACAUUGAUUAGGAGAGGACAGUGCCCAAAGGAGUCAGCAGGUCAUAUCAGGUCUUGCUCUCUGCAUUAGGAGAAAUGUAAUAGCCUUCACAGCUUCUUCACCUGUCUUCUUCACCCAACUCCAUUUUUAGAUGUGUACUAUUUCAUGUGCACAGUGCUCUAAGUGUCACAAAUAGUGGUCAUGGGCUUAGAUUGAGCACCAUCUCUAACAUGUACCAUUCCAGAGGGCAUCGUUGUCAACAGAAUGAGUUAAGUGUGCAUAUUUGCAAACCACAUAGCCCUGAGUGAAAGAAAUUCAGAGUAGGUAAGGUCUAACUUGGAAAAGGAGGAGGAAGUGCUAUUGUGGUGCAUGAGUGUGUGGGGAGGGACAUGGAUCCUGAGGAAAGCGGGAGAGGUUUUGAUGGGGAACAGAAGCACAGACAAAUACCUUUAUUUAUAUAUUUAUCUAGAGGAGGAUCCUCAAACUUGGCUGUACAUAAUAAUUACUUGAUAUUUUAAAAUUCCCAAUUAUAUCAAAAUUGCUUGGAGUAGGAACCAGACAUCAGUAUUUUUGAAAGCACCCAGUGUGGCUCCAGUGUCCAGCCACAGUUGCUAACUACUACGUUAUGACUAGCGUUAUGACCAUCGAAGGAAGACAUGUUUGUCUUCCUUUUCCAGUGUCCCAGCCUUCCAGUGUCUGGGAAAGCAGAUGUAAGAGAUACAAUAUUAACUGGAUUGAUAACUUUUUCUGUGCCUCUCACAGAAUAAAAGUAUGUGUGAAUUUCUGACUAGGCAGUGACCCAUUACCUCUUAAUAAUUCUAUUAUAUUCUCAUAUGUGACUUGCCCAUAAAUUAUUUCACUUCAAACAUACCAAGUUUUUGAUUGUCUUCUACAUGUGACAAAACAAAAUACCAGAAAUAUCAUGGUAAAUUAAACAGCAUGUGAAGCUAAAUGGAUUCUCAAUGUUUGGACAAUAGAAGUUCUCAAAGUAAUCAUUAUUAAAUCGGGUCCAAAUUUAUUAUUCAUUCUUCUUUUGGAGGAGACAUGGGUACCAGGUACCUGUUCUGCUAUAGGUAUAUUUUAUUGGACUUGAUUUAAACAAAAAGGAAAAACAACUCUUCCUUCUUGAUUGUUGUCUCAAUCAAAAGCUCCCAGGGCCACUUAGAUUUAUUUUCUUGGUUAUUAUGUAUUUAAAUGGAAAAGAAUGCCUGUAAUUUACUAUCUGACCUCCAGUGGCCUCAAAAGCACUUAUACAUUCAAAAAGGAGAGCCCAGCCUAUCAAGGGCAAUAACACAUAGUGAGAAAAAAUUCCAAGUCAUCUCCUCUAACACUGCUUCUCCUCUGGUUUGGGCCCACCCUUCUCACCUGCAAAGCCAGAAAAUAAACUUGGUGGUGGUUUUGGGCAAUUGUACACAGGAUCAAAAUUAUAACCUAUAAUUUUUAGUACUUAAUUAUGUGAUGUUUUAUUCUAGGAAAUAAGAAACAGAUGACACCAUUGAUGUAUCUUUCAUCUUCAGAAUUUUUGCAUCUUUUCAGAAAAUGACAAAUUACUAUUUUUCUGUUGCACUCAGCAAUUGUGACUAUACUUAAAAUUCU